rnacentral:lncRNA from 1 species
GAGUCACAUGUAGAAUCGAUUAAUCUAAAAAUCUAAUUUGGCUCGAUGGUUUGAGCCUGAUUCGCUUGAGCUAACCUGUUUAGACCAAUUGACCUAUUGAUGUUUAAAAUAAGUAAUUGAGACAUGAUUAUUUAAUUAAUUUUAUUUGGUUACCUAAUCAAUUUAUUGGUGUCUAAGAAAAGCAACAGGGGGACCCCCAUCAAUCUCCACUUACCUGGCCAAUU